rnacentral:lncRNA from 1 species
CAAAGGUCAGUAGCUCAGAGCAAGGAGAGGAAGGUGGGACACAGCGAGGGAAACAGAAUAUUGCAAAGUAUUUCUUGAAUAUUCACACCUAAUCUUGCACUAAACCUAAGAUGACAAGCCAAGAAAGAAGCUUACUCCCCACAGAGAGAUUUUGAAGAUGCAAAUGCAAAGUUGGGGAUUUCAGACUAAAACUGUCUCUCUAUAGGAAAAAAAUGCAUGCAUUUUAUGCCUUUUGGAGAAGAUGGAGAGAGAUGGGUCUUUGAGAAAAACCUGUGAUGGAUAUGAAUCGAUGGAUAAGAUUCUGAGCUCUGCCCACGCUUCAGAGAAGCAUCUGUCAAUCCACUGACUAAUGACAAUGACUUAUGUGUCCAGACUUCAGAGUAACAGAAGGCCUGGCUCCAAAUAAUAGAGUGACCAUGUUUCCUAAAGAGACUGUAUGUGUUUAAAACAUAAAGGCAUUUUGACAGAGAGAAUAAUUGAAUAGGCUUAGCUUGGUGACACUUAAAGCAUUUAACCAUGUCCCAUAUAUUUCUACAGAGGGGUAGUAUUUAGUAGUUUAUUUUCCUAUAAAUAUUAAAACCUGUGCAAAAACAGAAGAAAACAACACACAGUAAUCUAAAAGCUCAAGAAAAUUUAAGUGCACAGAUAAGAAAAUCAAAUGAACUUCUUAUUUAUUACUGUUACAAUUCCCUGUGUACAUAUGUCCUUUUAUUCUAUAUAUUUAUAGAUGAAU